GGGCCGGUUGCAUAAACAUAGUCAUUAUCUUAAGACUGUGUCUAAGAAAUAGUCUGACUAACUAAAGUCACUGAAGAAAGACCAUUGCAUAAAAUAAGCUCACACCUAUCUUUAUUAAGACAGUCUAAAUCGCAGUGAUUUGUGGGAAAAAUAAGACGCUAAACAACUUAAACAAAAUGGCCGACAGUUCGCGCUCGUCACAGUUUUCCUUUGCGGAAAAUAUUUGUAUAUUAGAGGAAUACAAUGCUGCUAAAUCGACUCUAAUGAACAAAUUUAACGAUUACAACGGCAAUGGCAAAAAACACAAAGCUUGGACAACAAUUACGGAAGGAGUUAACAUUGUCAACCCAUCUGUCAACCGAUCCGUCAAAGAUGUUCAAAAACGGUUUUAAAAAUAUGGUUCAAGAAGCAAAAAAGGAAAUAUUUAAGCGAAAAAACCCAGCAACGGGGGGAGGACCAUCUCCUAAAUUGAAAAGGACAACGGAAAUGAUCAUCGAAAUAUACGGAGACGAAUCUCCGAUGUUUUGGGGAAUCCCCGGGGGGAGGGAGAGCGGAGUAUCUGGGCGGACGUUACCCACAGCGGUGAAAGAUACAGAGUCUCAUACCGCUGUCACAUCAACCCCGCUUGGACAGUCUCGUGAGUAAUAAUGUUUCGAUGGUUAUUGUUUUUGCUUCAUUUUAAACACUGUAGGUUACUGCUCUGUUUUAGAUUGAGUAACACUUAUUAUCUUAUAGUUGACUGCGAGGUGACACUGAUAUUGGUCUCUCAAAAUGACGAAGCUCCUGUUACAAGCCAGGAUGACCAAACAACACAAAGUGAAGAUGACGAUUUGGACAGCACCCAAAUGGCACCUGUGGGAAGUGGCUCAGACACCGAGAGACAGAAAGAUGCUCCAAGCAAGAUAAC